rnacentral:rRNA from 1 species
UACGAAGGGGGCUAGCGUUGCUCGGAAUCACUGGGCGUAAAGCGCACGUAGGCGGCUUUCUAAGUCAGGGGUGAAAUCCUGGAGCUCAACUCCAGAACUGCCUUUGAUACUGGAGAGCUUGAGUCCGGGAGAGGUGAGUGGAACUCCGAGUGUAGAGGUGAAAUUCGUAGAUAUUCGGAAGAACACCAGUGGCGAAGGCGGCUCACUGGCUCAUAUCUGACGCUCAGGCGCGACAGCGUGGGGAUCAAACAGG